GUGGCGGACGGGUGAGUAACACGUGGGUAACCUGCCCUAAAGUGGGGGAUAACAUUUGGAAACAGAUGCUAAUACCGCAUAAAACCUAACACCGCAUGGUGUAGGGUUGAAAGAUGGUUUCGGCUAUCACUUUAGGAUGGACCCGCGGUGCAUUAGUUAGUUGGUGAGGUAAAGGCUCACCAAGACCGUGAUGCAUAGCCGACCUGAGAGGGUAAUCGGCCACACUGGGACUGAGACACGGCCCAGACUCCUACGGGAGGCAGCAGUAGGGAAUCUUCCACAAUGGACGAAAGUCUGAUGGAGCAACGCCGCGUGAGUGAAGAAGGUUUUCGGAUCGUAAAACUCUGUUGUUGGAGAAGAAUGUAUCUGAUAGUAACUGAUCAGGUAGUGACGGUAUCCAACCAGAAAGCCACGGCUAACUACGUGCCAGCAGCCGCGGUAAUACGUAGGUGGCAAGCGUUGUCCGGAUUUAUUGGGCGUAAAGCGAGCGCAGGCGGUUU
rnacentral:rRNA from 2 species